rnacentral:rRNA from 1 species
UACGAGGGGAGCAAGCGUUGUUCGGAUUUACUGGGCGUAAAGGGCGCGUAGGCGGUCGUGACAAGUCACUUGUGAAAUCUCCGGGCUUAACUCGGAACGGUCAAGUGAUACUGUCGGACUAGAGUACAGAAGGGGCAACUGGAAUUCUCGGUGUAGCGGUGAAAUGCGUAGAUAUCGAGAGGAACACCUGCGGCGAAGGCGGCUCACUGGACCACAACUGACGCUGAUGCGCGAAAGCUAGGGGAGCAAACAGG